rnacentral:rRNA from 1 species
AUGGAGGAGGAGCUGCACGCGCUGCUGCGCGACCUCGACGCGCUCAAGCAGCUCCCCGACCCCGCCUCCAUCGACCGGAUGCGAGAUCGCGUGGUGAAGAUGAUGGGCCCGUCCGGCGCCGCUGCCGCCACCCGGUCGAAGAUCAAGGACAUGAGCGCGGAGGUGGUGGACAGCAACCCCUACAGCAGGCUCAUGGCGCUGCAGCGGAUGGGGAUCGUCGACAACUACGAGCGCAUCCGCGACUACUCUGUCGCCAUUGUGGGUGUAGGUGGUGUUGGUAGUGUCGCUGCUGAGAUGCUCACUAGAUGUGGAAUUGGACGCCUCUUGCUAUAUGACUAUGACACAGUUGAGCUGGCUAACAUGAAUAGGUUGUUCUUCCGACCGGACCAGGUUGGAAUGACCAAGACUGAUGCUGCUGUGCAGACACUUAGCGAAAUAAAUCCCGAUGUCGUAUUGGAGAGUUAUUCGUUGAAUAUCACUACAGUGAAAGGAUUUGAAACAUUUUUGGGAAGUCUCAAAGCUAGGAGCUCUAACGGGCGCAGCACUGGAGUUGAUCUUGUUUUGAGCUGUGUUGAUAACUAUGAAGCUCGUAUGGUUGUCAAUCAGGCUUGCAAUGAGCUUCGCCAAACAUGGAUGGAAUCUGGUGUGUCUGAAGACGCUGUUUCUGGUCAUAUACAGCUAUUGGUUCCUGGUGAAACUGCAUGCUUUGCAUGUGCUCCUCCAUUGGUUGUAGCAUCAGGAGUGGACGAGCGUACACUUAAGCGAGAUGGUGUUUGUGCUGCUUCUUUGCCAACUACAAUGGGUGUUGUUGCUGGACUGCUGGUCCAGAAUUCUCUGAAAUAUCUGUUGAAGUUUGGUCAAGUUUCCCCUUACUUGGGAUAUAAUUCACUUAAGGAUUUUUUCCCGACAAUGGAAAUGAGACCAAAUCCACAAUGUUCAAACCCAGCAUGUCUUGAGAGACAGAAAGAAUAUAUGCAAUCAAAACCUGCUAGAGAUGCAGCGGCAAAGGCUAAGAUGGAAGCUGAAGCAUCCGCAGCAAUUGAAUACCCGGUUCACGUGGAUAACGAGUGGAACAUUAGUGUUCUUGAUGAUAGUGACACGGCAACGUCAAGCGUUCAAAGGGCUGCAGCAGACAUCCUUCCAGAAGGCCUUGUCCGUGAACUUCCAGAUGAAGAUUCCUACGUGGAGCCACCUGCUGCACCAGCUAGCUCCGGCGCUAUCGACGACGAUCUCGAGGAGCUCCAGCGGCAACUCGACGCUCUAAACUCAUCUUGA